UACGUAGGGGGCAAGCGUUGUCCGGAUUUAUUGGGCGUAAAGAGCGCGUAGGCGGCUAAGUAGGUCUGUUGUGAAAACUCGAGGCUCAACCUCGAGAUGCCGAUGGAAACCAUUUGGCUAGAGUCCGGAAGAGGAGAGUGGAAUUCCCGGUGUAGCGGUGAAAUGCGCAGAUAUCGGGAAGAACACCCGUGGCUAAGGCGGCUCUCUAGUACGGUACUGACGCUGAGACGCGAAAGCGUGGGGAGCGAACAGG
rnacentral:rRNA from 1 species